GCAUGCUACAUGGCGAAGUCGAAGCGUGAACCAAAAUAUUGCAAUGGUGAGACUCAAAUUCAAAGAUCUUUUUUCUCUGCGAAAACGCAAAUUACUUCGAUU
rnacentral:lncRNA from 1 species